CUUCAGUCCAUGUCUCCUGCCUGAUGAGAGGAGGACUCCACGUUGCUCCGUGAGACAAGCCCCUGACUGACUGCUCUGCUGUGCGAGCCUGAACCAACUGUGGCCGCCUGUCUGUCUCCGUCUUCAUCAUCCGUCUUUCGGUGUGCAUCGCCGGGUGGCCUUUGCUGGAGCCUAGGACCCACUAGGAAUAGCAGGUCAGGCUCCCCUUUGCUAGAACCAGAGCUGACAUCGUCUUCAUCAGAACUGUUGAUGAUUUCCUCUUCAUCUGAAGGAAGGUCACCAAGACCAAGGUCCACAUCACUGUGUACCUCCUGGGAUGCUCCACAACUGUUUCAAUAGAAAGUGUCACAUUAGUCACCUUCAAAAACAAGGACUACUGCCAAAACCAAACAAAAUCAACCAUCUUAUUCAUGUGAUAUAAACAAGGUACAUCUAAGGAGUUUAGAGAGAUGGAAAUAGCCAGAUCAAUCAAAGUUCCCCUUCCCUUUCCCCAUCCCAGCCAUCAAAAACACAUAUUAAAAGAAAA